GGGUGGGGAGCUCAGUCGGCAGAGUGUAAGACUCUUCAUCUGAGGGCCACGGGUUCGAGCACCAUGCUGGGCA